GACGAACGCUGGCGGCGUGCUUAAUACAUGCAAGUUGAGCGCUGAAGGCUGGUACUUGUAGCAACUGGAUGAGCCGCGAAGGGGUGAGUAACGCGUGGGGCCUCUGCCUUUGAUCGGGGGACCACAUUUGGAAUGGAAUGCUAAUACCGCAUGAACACUUGAAACACAAGGUUUAAGUUUGAAAGAUGCAAUUGCAUCACUCAAAGAUGAUCCCGCGUUGUAUUAGCUAGUUGGUGAGGUAAAGGCGCACCAAGGCGAUGAUACAUAGCCGACCUGAGAGGGUGAUCGGCCACAUUGGGACUGAGACACGGCCCAAACUCCUACGGGAGGCAGCAGUAGGGAAUCUUCGGCAAUAGACGAAAGUCUGACCGAGCAACGCCGCGUGAGUGAAGAAGGUUUUCGGAUCGUAAAACUCUGUUGGUAGAGAAGAACGUUGGUGAGAGUGGAAAGCUCAUCAAGUGACGGUAACUACCCAGAAAGGGACGGCUAACUACGUG
rnacentral:rRNA from 1 species